GAGUUAACCAGGAAGCAGGCUGAGAGCAUCACUGUGUUCCCAUGAUGCUGAAAUAGCCAUCUGUAUAUACAAUUCCAAAGAUUGAGAAUGAAAAAUCACAGGCACUCAUUCCAAAAUUAUCUCUGUUAUUUCUGACAUGGGGACAAAUUCAACCUUCUUGUAAGAAAGCACAACUCUCACGGGCUGAAGUGGGACUUGAAGACCCCAUAUUCUUCCUUUGACUACACAAGCAACAGCUGUCUAGCUUCCUGUUCAGCACUGGAUCUAAUGCCUCUACAGAAAUCUAGGUCAAAACACUUGGAAUGCAUGAAUAUCAAACAGAGUUUUCAAAACAGCAAAUGAAUACAUCUUUAACUGGUGACAUUUUCCUGUAGCAUAUGGCUGCAAGCUCAGGGGACUGCAUGCUUUUUUGAUGAAUAUGUUCCGUCAAAAACUAAGAAAUGGCAGUGGGCUUAUAUCACCUUCUGUUUUGCCUUAUGAAAUGAUAAUGCAAAC